rnacentral:misc_RNA from 1 species
AUUUGAUUCGGUUCAAAUAAUUGAUUUUCAAAUAUCUCUCUUUCUUCUAUGCUCAAAGCAUAGUAGAUCAAAAAAUCAUAAGAAAAAAUUACAAAUUCCAUAAACACAAUAUUGAUCUUGACAACAAAAAAUUUCAUUAACAAAAAUUAAAAAACAUAUUUACAUUUUAACUACAAAUCACAAUAUUACAAAAUUGUAGCAAAUGAAUUGAAAAAUAGAGGAGAUGUUCCGGUGCCAGUUGUUGACAAUCGAUUGUGAGCAUCCAUGUCCUUGAGCCCAACCUCUCAAUGUUUGAGCAGCCACUCAUCUGAUGAGCAUGUGAUAUACAUGAAUUUCUUUUAUUUAAAUUGAUAACAAAACAAAGAAAAGAAAUGAAC